rnacentral:rRNA from 1 species
GGGUUGUGAGGUUAAGCGACUAAGCGUACACGGUGGAUGCCCUGGCAGUCAGAGGCGAUGAAGGGCGUGCUAAUCUGCGAUAAGCGCCGGUAAGGUGAUAUGAACCGUUAUAACCGGCGAUACCCGAAUGGGGAAACCCAGUGUGAUUCGUCACACUAUCAUUAACUGAAUCCAUAGGUUAAUGAGGCGAACCGGGGGAACUGAAACAUCUAAGUACCCCGAGGAAAAGAAAUCAACCGAGAUUCCCCCAGUAGCGGCGAGCGAACGGGGAGGAGCCCAGAGCCUGAAUCAGCAUGUGUGUUAGUGGAAGCGUCUGGAAAGGCGCGCGAUACAGGGUGACAGCCCCGUACACAAAAGCGCAUGUGCUGUGAGCUCGAUGAGUAGGGCGGGACACGUGGUAUCCUGUCUGAAUAUGGGGGGACCAUCCUCCAAGGCUAAAUACUCCUGACUGACCGAUAGUGAACCAGUACCGUGAGGGAAAGGCGAAAAGAACCCCGGCGAGGGGAGUGAAAAAGAACCUGAAACCGUGUACGUACAAGCAGUGGGAGCACCCUUUGGGUGUGACUGCGUACCUUUUGUAUAAUGGGUCAGCGACUUAUAUUCUGUAGCAAGGUUAACCGAAUAGGGGAGCCGGAGGGAAACCGAGUCUUAACCGGGCGUUAAGUUGCAGGGUAUAGACCCGAAACCCGGUGAUCUAGCCAUGGGCAGGUUGAAGGUUGGGUAACACUAACUGGAGGACCGAACCGACUAAUGUUGAAAAAUUAGCGGAUGACCUGUGGCUGGGGGUGAAAGGCCAAUCAAACCGGGAGAUAGCUGGUUCUCCCCGAAAGCUAUUUAGGUAGCGCCUCGUGAAUUCAUCUCCGGGGGUAGAGCACUGUUUCGGCUAGGGGGCCAUCCCGGCUUACCAACCCGAUGCAAACUGCGAAUACCGGAGAAUGUUAUCACGGGAGACACACGGCGGGUGCUAACGUCCGUCGUGAAGAGGGAAACAACCCAGACCGCCAGCUAAGGUCCCAAAGUCAUGGUUAAGUGGGAAACGAUGUGGGAAGGCCCAGACAGCCAGGAUGUUGGCUUAGAAGCAGCCAUCAUUUAAAGAAAGCGUAAUAGCUCACUGGUCGAGUCGGCCUGCGCGGAAGAUGUAACGGGGCUAAACCAUGCACCGAAGCUGCGGCAGCGACACUGUGUGUUGUUGGGUAGGGGAGCGUUCUGUAAGCCUGCGAAGGUGGCCUGUGAGGGUUGCUGGAGGUAUCAGAAGUGCGAAUGCUGACAUAAGUAACGAUAAAGCGGGUGAAAAGCCCGCUCGCCGGAAGACCAAGGGUUCCUGUCCAACGUUAAUCGGGGCAGGGUGAGUCGACCCCUAAGGCGAGGCCGAAAGGCGUAGUCGAUGGGAAACGGGUUAAUAUUCCCGUACUUGGUGUUACUGCGAAGGGGGGACGGAGAAGGCUAUGUUGGCCGGGCGACGGUUGUCCCGGUUUAAGCGUGUAGGCUGGUUUUCCAGGCAAAUCCGGAAAAUCAAGGCUGAGGCGUGAUGACGAGGCACUACGGUGCUGAAGCAACAAAUGCCCUGCUUCCAGGAAAAGCCUCUAAGCAUCAGGUAACAUCAAAUCGUACCCCAAACCGACACAGGUGGUCAGGUAGAGAAUACCAAGGCGCUUGAGAGAACUCGGGUGAAGGAACUAGGCAAAAUGGUGCCGUAACUUCGGGAGAAGGCACGCUGACACGUAGGUGAAGUGAUUUACUCAUGGAGCUGAAGUCAGUCGAAGAUACCAGCUGGCUGCAACUGUUUAUUAAAAACACAGCACUGUGCAAACACGAAAGUGGACGUAUACGGUGUGACGCCUGCCCGGUGCCGGAAGGUUAAUUGAUGGGGUCAGCGCAAGCGAAGCUCCUGAUCGAAGCCCCGGUAAACGGCGGCCGUAACUAUAACGGUCCUAAGGUAGCGAAAUUCCUUGUCGGGUAAGUUCCGACCUGCACGAAUGGCGUAAUGAUGGCCAGGCUGUCUCCACCCGAGACUCAGUGAAAUUGAACUCGCUGUGAAGAUGCAGUGUACCCGCGGCAAGACGGAAAGACCCCGUGAACCUUUACUAUAGCUUGACACUGAACAUUGAGCCUUGAUGUGUAGGAUAGGUGGGAGGCUUUGAAGUGUGGACGCCAGUCUGCAUGGAGCCGACCUUGAAAUACCACCCUUUAAUGUUUGAUGUUCUAACGUGGACCCGUUACCCGGGUUGCGGACAGUGUCUGGUGGGUAGUUUGACUGGGGCGGUCUCCUCCUAAAGAGUAACGGAGGAGCACGAAGGUUGGCUAAUCCUGGUCGGACAUCAGGAGGUUAGUGCAAUGGCAUAAGCCAGCUUGACUGCGAGCGUGACGGCGCGAGCAGGUGCGAAAGCAGGUCAUAGUGAUCCGGUGGUUCUGAAUGGAAGGGCCAUCGCUCAACGGAUAAAAGGUACUCCGGGGAUAACAGGCUGAUACCGCCCAAGAGUUCAUAUCGACGGCGGUGUUUGGCACCUCGAUGUCGGCUCAUCACAUCCUGGGGCUGAAGUAGGUCCCAAGGGUAUGGCUGUUCGCCAUUUAAAGUGGUACGCGAGCUGGGUUUAGAACGUCGUGAGACAGUUCGGUCCCUAUCUGCCGUGGGCGCUGGAGAACUGAGGGGGGCUGCUCCUAGUACGAGAGGACCGGAGUGGACGCAUCACUGGUGUUCGGGUUGUCAUGCCAAUGGCACUGCCCGGUAGCUAAAUGCGGAAGAGAUAAGUGCUGAAAGCAUCUAAGCACGAAACUUGCCCCGA